rnacentral:rRNA from 1 species
UACGUAGGGUGCAAGCGUUGUCCGGAAUUACUGGGCGUAAAGCGUGCGCAGGCGGUCUGUUAAGACCGAUGUGAAAUCCCCGGGCUUAACCUCGGGAACUGCAUUGGUGACUGGCAGGCUUUGAGUGUGGCAGAGGGAGGUAGAAUUCCACGUGUAGCAGUGAAAUGCGUAGAGAUGUGGAGGAAUACCGAUGGCGAAGGCAGCCUCCUGGGCCAACACUGACGCUCAUGCACGAAAGCGUGGGGAGCAAACAGG